AGAGUUUGAUCCUGGCUCAGAUUGAACGCUGGCGGCAGGCCUAACACAUGCAAGUCGAACGGUAACAGGAAACAGCUUGCUGUUUCGCUGACGAGUGGCGGACGGGUGAGUAAUGUCUGGGAAACUGCCUGAUGGAGGGGGAUAACUACUGGAAACGGUAGCUAAUACCGCAUAACGUCGCAAGACCAAAGAGGGGGACCUUCGGGCCUCUUGCCAUCGGAUGUGCCCAGAUGGGAUUAGCUAGUAGGUGGGGUAACGGCUCACCUAGGCGACGAUCCCUAGCUGGUCUGAGAGGAUGACCAGCCACACUGGAACUGAGACACGGUCCAGACUCCUACGGGAGGCAGCAGUGGGGAAUAUUGCACAAUGGGCGCAAGCCUG
rnacentral:rRNA from 1 species